CAGUUUCAGGACUCCUCGGCUAUGGACAAAUUCCAUAGGGGGCAAACUGACAUAAAGUUUCAGACUAGACUGCAUCCUAUGUGGGAAGAUUUGCUGCGGUUAAUGUCAGUGCAGGAAAAAGAACUGACAAAAUCGAUCUGGUUAAACAUAGUCUGGGAUAUUUCUAGAGAGAGAGAGAGAGAAAGGGAGAGGAGAGGGGAGGUAGAUUGUUUAAGUAAAACGCAGCUUAUAGCCCAACUUUGAGCUGCUGGCCUCACUCCAAGGUGUAGAUAGUCUACGUCGCAAAGCGCAAGGCUCUUUUUACAAACCCCUUUAGGCUACACUGAAUCAAGGGAUUCUGUUUUCCGGGGGUUACAUGCAGGCUCCACAAACCCCCCAAAAUGAUGUGUUUUCUCCACUGAUUCUCCUGUGCUGUGACACCUUUCAUCUCAUUAGAAAAUGGCGGUUUGUGCCCCCUUCAAAACACAUCAUGCCAAGGAACAUUUUCUUUUUUAACAGUAAAUAACGAGUUAAUGCUCACUGGUAAAAUGUGGAAAUGGUAAAUAUAUUCAAGCUUAUAUCUGUGUUAUUUUUAAAAGAAUAAUAGCAUUAAAGAAACAUGUGGCUUU